UACGGGGGGGGCAAGCGUUGUUCGGAAUUACUGGGCGUAAAGGGCUCGUAGGCGGCCAACUAAGUCGGAUGUGAAAUCCCCAAGCUUAACUUGGGAACUGCAUCCGAUACUGGAUGGCUUGAAUCCGGGAGAGGGAUGCAGAAUUCCAGGUGUAGCGGUGAAAUGCGUAGAUAUCUGGAGGAACACCGGUGGCGAAGGCGGCAUCCUGGACCGGUAUUGACGCUGAGGCGCGAAAGCGUGGGGAGCAAACAGG
rnacentral:rRNA from 1 species